GGGGUUGGUCUGUAGGCAGUGUUGUUAGCUGAUUGUUUCAUAUGAACUAUAAUCACUAACCAUACUGCCAACACAACAACCUACA
ensembl:miRNA mir34b microRNA 34b